UACGGGGGGGGCAAGCGUUGUUCGGAAUUACUGGGCGUAAAGGGCUCGUAGGUGGCCAACUAAGUCGGACGUGAAAUCCCUCAGCUUAACUGGGGAACUGCGUCCGAUACUGGAUGGCUUGAGUUUGGGAGAGGGAUGCGGAAUUCCAGGUGUAGCGGUGAAAUGCGUAGAUAUCUGGAGGAACACCGGUGGCGAAGGCGGCAUCCUGGACCAACACUGACACUGAGGCACGAAAGCUAGGGGAGCAAACAGG
rnacentral:rRNA from 1 species